UUAUGUGUUACGCCAUUCUGAUGCAAUAGAGCCAUUUCGUCAAGAGUUCAUUGAUUUUGAAAAAAGAAGACGUAGACGAGGUACACGUCUUGACAAUAGUGCUAUAUAUAAACUACUGAAUGAAAAGUUUCAUGAUUGGUUUCGAAAUAGGGUUUUGGCAAAUUCUGAUUCAUCCAUCGCAGAGGAUAUUUUGAGCAUUGGUAGAGGUCCUAAUAAUGUUGUCAGGAUAUUCUCUGGCUAUAUAAUUAAUGGAAUUAGAUUCCAUACUUUAUCACGAGAGGAUCAACGAUUGACACAAAAUAGUGGGGUUGUUAACACACCAGAAACUGGAGGGUUGGAAUAUUUUGGGAGAUUAACUGAUAUUAUUGAGUUAAAUUAUUUUGAUAAUUUUAAGGUGGUUUUAUUUAGGUGUGAUUGGUAUGAUAUUCAUCAUCCUGCUGGAAUUAAGUGUGAUGAAUUUGGAUUCACCCUUGUAAAUUUCUCUCGCUUGAUCCAUACUGGCGAGAAGGCAAAUGAUGAUCCUUAUGUAUUCUCUUCCCAAGUUCAACAAGUAUUUUAUGUGCAGGAUCCUAAUAGU